AAACGAGCUUGAAGCAGCAGUCGGGUAGGAACACUCCGACUCACGAAGCUUACGACUCCACCUCGUCGAACCGGCCGGACUUGAUCCGCUCCCGGUUCUCGAGGGGCCAGUUGUAGACAUACAUCCACGCCUCGACGACGGUGCCAUCGGCCAGCGUCAUUUUCUGAAGCUUGCGCAGAUACUGGGUCGGCUCGGCAUCGUCCGGGCCGCAACCCUCGUAAGCGUCGAGCGCCGUCAGAAUCUCCGGAUCGCGCAGUUCGAAGACAUCUCCAUACGCCCACUCAUCCGGCUGGGUGGACGGAACG
rnacentral:misc_RNA from 1 species